rnacentral:rRNA from 1 species
UACGUAGGGGGCGAGCGUUGUCCGGAUUCACUGGGUGUAAAGGGCGCGUAGGCGGGUUUGUAAGUCAGGGGUGAAAUCUCACGGCUUAACCGUGAAACUGCCUCUGAUACUGCAAAUCUUGAGUUCGGAAGAGAGUAGCGGAAUUCCAGGUGUAGUGGUGAAAUACGUAGAUAUCUGGAAGAACACCAGUGGCGAAGGCGGCUACUUGGUCCGUAACUGACGCUGAGGCGCGAAAGCGUGGGGAGCAAACAGG